GAGGCCGACAGGCGUAGGCGAUGGAUAACAGGUUGAUAUUCCUGUACCACCAUUAUUCGUUUUAAGCGAUGGGGGGACGCAGUAGGAUAGGCGAAGCGUGCUGUUGGAGUGCACGUCCAAGCAGUGAGAUUGAGUGUUAGGCAAAUCCGGCACUCUUAAGAUUGAGCUGUGAUGGGGAGAGGAACUUGUUCCUCGAGUCGUUGAUUUCACACUGCCGAGAAAAGCCUCUAGCUAGAAUAACGGUGCCCGUACCGCAAACCGACACAGGUAGUCAAGAUGAGAAUUCUAAGGUGAGCGAGCGAACUCUCGUUAAGGAACUCGGCAAAAUGACCCCGUAACUUCGGGAGAAGGGGUGCUCUUUGAGGUUCACGCUUCGAAGAGCCGCAGUGAAUAGGCCCAAGCGACUGUUUAUCAAAAACACAGGUCUCUGCUAAACCGUAAGGUGACGUAUAGGGGCUGACGCCUGCCCGGUGCUGGAA
rnacentral:rRNA from 1 species